AUUGAACGCUGGCGGCAUGCUUUACACAUGCAAGUCGAACGGCAGCACGAAAGAGCUUGCUCUUUUGGUGGCGAGUGGCGAACGGGUGAGUAAUGCAUCGGAACGUACCGAGUAAUGGGGGAUAACUAUCCGAAAGGAUAGCUAAUACCGCAUACGCUUUGAGAAGGAAAGUGGGGGCUCUUCGGACCUCACGUUAUUCGAGCGGCCGAUGUCUGAUUAGCUAGUUGGUGGGGUAAAGGCCUACCAAGGCGACGAUCAGUAGCGGGUCUGAGAGGAUGAUCCGCCACACUGGGACUGAGACACGGCCCAGACUCCUACGGGAGGCAGCAGUGGGGAAUUUUGGACAAUGGGCGCAAGCCUGAUCCAGCCAUGCCGCGUGUCUGAAGAAGGCCUUCGGGUUGUAAAGGACUUUUGUUAGGGAAGAAAAGGAUAGUGUUAAUACCA
rnacentral:rRNA from 1 species